rnacentral:rRNA from 1 species
GACGAACGCUGGCGGCGUGCCUAACACAUGCAAGUCGAACGCAUCAGUGCUUCGGCGCUGAUGAGUGGCGAACGGGUGAGUAACACGUGAGUAACUUGCCUGGGGGAGGGGGAUAACCAUCUGAAAGGAUGGCUAAUACCCCAUAUUCUCCUUUAUUGCUAGAUAAAGGAGGAAAGGUGGCGUAAGCUGUCGCCCCCGGAGAGGCUCGCGUCCCAUCAGCUAGUUGGUAGGGUAAUGGCUUACCAAGGCUAUGACGGGUAGCUGGUCUGAGAGGAUGGUCAGCCACACUGGGACUGAGACACGGGCCCAGACUCCUACGGGAGGCAGCAGUGAGGAAUCGUUGGGCAAGUGGGCGAAAGCCUGACCCAGCCGACGCCGCGUGGAGGAAGAAGGUCUUCGGAUCGUAAACUCCUGGUUCGGGGAGGAAGAACAAGAGAGAAGUUAAUAGUCUUCUCUCCUCUGGACGGUACUCCCCGGAGAAACGCCGUCCGGCUAAUUACGU